CCUACGGGAGGCAGCAGUAGGGAAUCUUCCACAAUGGGCGAAAGCCUGAUGGAGCAACGCCGCGUGGGUGAAGAAGGUCUUCGGAUCGUAAAACCCUGUUGUUAGAGAAGAAAGUGCGUGAGAGUAACUGUUCACGUUUCGACGGUAUCUAACCAGAAAGCCACGGCUAACUACGUGCCAGCAGCCGCGGUAAUACGUAGGUGGCAAGCGUUAUCCGGAUUUAUUGGGCGUAAAGGGAACGCAGGCGGUCUUUUAAGUCUGAUGUGAAAGCCUUCGGCUUAACCGGAGUAGUGCAUUGGAAACUGGGAGACGUGAGUGCAGAAGAGGAGAGGGGAACUGCAUGUGUAGCGGUGAAAUGCGGAGAUAUAUGGAAGAACACCAGUGGCGAAAGCGGCUCUCUGGUCUGUAACUGACGCUGAGGUUCGAAAGCGUGGGUAGCAAACAGGAUUAGAUACCCUUGUAGUC
rnacentral:rRNA from 1 species